CCUACGGGGGGCAGCAGUGAGGAAUAUUGGUCAAUGGUCGAGAGACUGAACCAGCCAAGCCGCGUGAGGGAGGAAGGUACAAUGUAUUGUAAACCUCUUUUGUCAGGGAACAAAACCCGGGACGUGUCCCGGGCUGAGUGUAUCCGAAGAAAAAGCAUCGGCUAACUCCGUGCCAGCAGCCGCGGUAAUACGGAGGAUGCGAGCGUUAUCCGGAUUUAUUGGGUUUAAAGGGUGCGCAGGCGGUCCGUUAAGUCAGCGGUAAAAUCGCGGGGCUCAACCCCGUCGAGCCGUUGAAACUGGCAGACUUGAGUUGGCGAGAAGUACGCGGAAUGCGCGGUGUAGCGGUGAAAUGCAUAGAUAUCGCGCAGAACUCCGAUUGCGAAGGCAGCGUACCGGCUCCAGACUGACGCUGAGGCACGAAAGCGUGGGGAUCGAACAGGAUUAGAUACCCUUGUAGUC
rnacentral:rRNA from 1 species